rnacentral:SRP_RNA from 1 species
GCCAGGCAUUGUGGCGGGCGCCUGUAGUCCCAGCUACUCGGGAGGCUGAGGCAGGAGAAUCGCCUGAGCCCUAGAGCUGGAGGUUGCUGUGAGCCAUGUGAUGCCACGGCACUCUACCUAGGGCGAUAAAGUGAGACUCUGUCUCUA